AGGACGAACGCUGGCGGCGCGCUUAACACAUGCAAGUCGAGCGGUAAGGCCCUUUCGGGGGUACACGAGCGGCGAACGGGUGAGUAACACGUGAGCAAUCUGCCCUUCACUUCGGGAUAAGCCUCGGAAACGGGGUCUAAUACCGGAUAUGACCGCGCUACGCAUGUGGUGUGGUGGAAAGUUCUGGCGGUGGAGGAUGAGCUCGCGGCCUAUCAGCUUGUGGUGGGUAAUGGCCUACAAGGCUUCGACGGGUAGCCGGCCUGGAGAGGGUGACCGGCCACACUGGGACUGAGACACGGCCCAGACUCCGUACGGGAGCAGCGAGGUGGGAAUAGUGGACAAGUGGGACGAAGCCUAGAUCCGAGCGAACGGCCGCGGU
rnacentral:rRNA from 1 species